CCUACGGGAGGCAGCAGUGAGGAAUAUUGGUCAAUGGACGAGAGUCUGAACCAGCCAAGUAGCGUGAAGGAUGACUGCCCUAUGGGUUGUAAACUUCUUUUAUAUGGGAAUAAAAUGUUCCACGUGUGGGAUUUUGUAUGUACCAUAUGAAUAAGGAUCGGCUAACUCCGUGCCAGCAGCCGCGGUAAUACGGAGGAUCCGAGCGUUAUCCGGGUUUAUUGGGUUUAAAGGGAGCGUAGGUGGGUUGUUAAGUCAGGUGGGAAAGUUUGCGGCUCAACCGUAAAAUUGCAGUUGAAACUGGCAGUCUUGAGUACAGUAGAGGUGGGCGGAAUGCGUGGUGUAGCGGUGAAAUGCUUAGAUAUCACGAAGAACUCCGAUUGCGAAGGCAGCUCACUGGACUGCAACUGACACUGAGGCUCGAAAGUGUGGGUAUCAAACAGGAUUAGAUACCCUAGUAGUC
rnacentral:rRNA from 1 species